GAUGAACGCUGGCGGCGUGCCUAAUACAUGCAAGUCGAGCGAACGGACGAGAAGCUUGCUUCUCUGAUGUUAGCGGCGGACGGGUGAGUAACACGUGGAUAACCUACCUAUAAGACUGGGAUAACUUCGGGAAACCGGAGCUAAUACCGGAUAAUAUUUUGAACCGCAUGGUUCAAAAGUGAAAGACGGUCUUGCUGUCACUUAUAGAUGGAUCCGCGCUGCAUUAGCUAGUUGGUAAGGUAACGGCUUACCAAGGCAACGAUGCAUAGCCGACCUGAGAGGGUGAUCGGCCACACUGGAACUGAGACACGGUCCAGACUCCUACGGGAGGCAGCAGUAGGGAAUCUUCCGCAAUGGGCGAAAGCCUGACGGAGCAACGCCGCGUGAGUGAUGAAGGUCUUCGGAUCGUAAAACUCUGUUAUUAGGGAAGAACAUAUGUGUAAGUAACUGUGCACAUCUUGACGGUACCUAAUCAGAAAGCCACGGCUAACUACGUGCCAGCAGCCGCGGUAAUACGUAGGUGGCAAGCGUUAUCCGGAAUUAUUGGGCGUAAAGCGCGCGUAGGCGGUUUUUUAAGUCUGAUGUGAAAGCCCACGGCUCAACCGUGGAGGGUCAUUGGAAACUGGAAAACUUGAGUGCAGAAGAGGAAAGUGGAAUUCCAUGUGUAGCGGUGAAAUGCGCAGAGAUAUGGAGGAACACCAGUGGCGAAGGCGACUUUCUGGUCUGUAACUGACGCUGAUGUGCGAAAGCGUGGAGAUCAAACAGGAUUAGAUACCCUGGUAGUCCACGCCGUAAACGAUGAGUGCUAAGUGUUAGGGGGUUUCCGCCCCUUAGUGCUGCAGCUAACGCAUUAAGCACUCCGCCUGGGGAGUACGACCGCAAGGUUGAAACUCAAAGGAAUUGACGGGGACCCGCACAAGCGGUGGAGCAUGUGGUUUAAUUCGAAGCAACGCGAAGAACCUUACCAAAUCUUGACAUCCUUUGACAACUCUAGAGAUAGAGCUUUCCCCUUCGGGGGACAAAGUGACAGGUGGUGCAUGGUUGUCGUCAGCUCGUGUCGUGAGAUGUUGGGUUAAGUCCCGCAACGAGCGCAACCCUUAAGCUUAGUUGCCAUCAUUAAGUUGGGCACUCUAAGUUGACUGCCGGUGACAAACCGGAGGAAGGUGGGGAUGACGUCAAAUCAUCAUGCCCCUUAUGAUUUGGGCUACACACGUGCUACAAUGGACAAUACAAAGGGCAGCGAAACCGCGAGGUCAAGCAAAUCCCAUAAAGUUGUUCUCAGUUCGGAUUGUAGUCUGCAACUCGACUACAUGAAGCUGGAAUCGCUAGUAAUCGUAGAUCAGCAUGCUACGGUGAAUACGUUCCCGGGUCU
rnacentral:rRNA from 1 species